ACGUUGAUAAAAUGAAAAUCUACAGAGAAAAGUCCAAUCAAAUAAGAAAAAUAAGCUGUUCGAUCUCGAGACUCGGUUCGACUCGGUGCUCGACUCGCCUCGAUGAUGGUCCGCUGAGUUCGAGAGGAAGAUCGAUUCCAUGCUGCGAUCUGUCGUCGUCUGGAGCGAUGGGUCGCUCACGCAGAUUCGCACCAGGCACUGCUCUGAUCGAUCGCUCUCUUACGCUGCCGAAAGCCAAGCGCCUCUGCUUGCCCAGUGUCGUCUCCUAUGUUUACCUCUGAGGUUAUCGUUGCUGGAGAAGAAGAGAUGGGUAUCGAUUGGGGGCGCCGAUCUGAGUGACAGUGUGAAUGAGGAUCCGAGCACCUCCAUUUCUUCUGAUAUGUUCUUCUACAUCUUCACAGCGAGUCGAUGGCUGCCGAAGACUCUUCUUUCUCAGAUCUGAGUUUCGCUGGGAACCUUCAACCAGGAACAACCAAGGUGAGGUUAAGAGAAAUAAAGAGAGAGAAUUUUGGGGCUGAUAGUUUUCACGGGAGAAGAAGAUCCAAUUGGUGGGGGACCUAAAUCUGAAAAAAAUCAGAGGUAACGUUAGGUAGUAACCUUUUGGGAAGGAGAAAUUGUUGACACCAAGAAUUAUACUUUCUUCACUGGCAAAUGGGAAGCAACACCAGAGGAUGAUAUAAGGCACUGGACCAAGUUUUCUUCUUUUAAUUCUUUACUUCCGUAGGGAACGUGAAUUUAAGGUGACCAUCAAGUUUGCUUCGAAGCCAGACUUACAUCAUCUGCGACAGUUUUUACAGAGCAGGCAACUUGAUGCUCCUCAAGAGACAAUUCAAGCACUGGAUGUUGCUCUCAGAGGAGAUCCAUCGGAUAAGUAUACUGUUGUUGGGAGGUUGUUUUUUCACCUCACACUGGGGCGUCCUGUCAUUUGCAGAAUACAAGGACUUAUAAGAUUACUGGGAUAUCGACAGAGCCACUGAACAAAUUAAUGUUUACUCUUGAUGAUAAGAUGACACAGAUUUCAGUUGCUGCUUAAACUUUACCAUUAAACUACAUACACUCGGUUUGUUGCUUCUUCUAUUUGCAGGUUCAACAAGCUUUUUCAGACCUGGAGAGGGAGCGUGGUUAUCUUGU